CAGAGGGCAGCAGCUGCUUCCACAGAGACCUUCAGCCUCCCGAUGGCAGAGUGGUCCUGAGGGCUGACAACUGCCGAGAGGGGGGACCCUGCUCUGCAGCUGGAUGGCCAUGUCGCCCUCCCCCAUCACAGUGAGCCCCAAUCCACAGCUGGAUGGCCAGAUGCCCCUGUCUAUGGCUCUACAUUGUGCCACCUCAGGAUGGCUCUCACCUCAGCAGUGUCUCCCACUGGAGCCAACUCUUCUCCCUCCUCUGGGGUGUAGCCACUGGAUGCUGGCACUGGAUUAGGC